rnacentral:rRNA from 1 species
AGAGUUUGAUCCUGGCUCAGGAUGAACGCUAGCGGCAGGCUUAAUACAUGCAAGUCGAACGGCAGCACGGGUAGCAAUACCUGGUGGCGAGUGGCGCACGGGUGCGUAACACGUAUGCAACUUACCCUAUACUGAGACAUAACACAUCGAAAGGUAUGCUAAUAUCUCAUAACAUUACGAGACGGCAUCGUUUUGUAAUUAAAGUUUUAAUGGUAUAGGAUAGGCAUGCGUCCCAUUAGCUAGUUGGUAAGGUAACGGCUUACCAAGGCGACGAUGGGUAGGGGUUCUGAGAGGAAAGUCCCCCACACUGGUACUGAGACACGGACCAGACUCCUACGGGAGGCAGCAGUAAGGAAUAUUGGUCAAUGGGCGAGAGCCUGAACCAGCCAUGCCGCGUGAAGGAAGACGGCCUUAUGGGUUGUAAACUUCUUUUAAGAGGGAAAAAACUGGGCUACGUGUAGCUCAUUGCUUGUACCUUUUGAAUAAGCAUCGGCUAACUCCGUGCCAGCAGCCGCGGUAAUACGGAGGAUGCGAGCGUUAUCCGGAUUCAUUGGGUUUAAAGGGUGCGCAGGCGGAUCAAUAAGUCAGUGGUGAAAUCCCAUAGCUCAACUAUGGAACUGCCAUUGAUACUGUUGGACUAGAGUAUGGAUGACGUAGGCGGAAUGCGACAUGUAGCGGUGAAAUGCUUAGAUAUGUCGCAGAACACCGAUUGCGAAGGCAGCUUACGAAGCCAUAACUGACGCUCAUGCACGAAAGCGUGGGGAUCAAACAGGAUUAGAUACCCUGGUAGUCCACGCCCCAAACGAUGAUUACUCGUUGUUGGCCUGCACAGGUCAGUGGCUAAGGGAAACCGGUAAGUAAUCCACCUGGGGAGUACGAUCGCAAGGUUGAAACUCAAAGGAAUUGACGGGGGCCCGCACAAGCGGAGGAGCAUGUGGUUUAAUUCGAUGAUACGCGAGGAACCUUACCUGGGCUCGAACGUGAGAGUAAUAUUUAGGAAACUAAAUAGCUAGCAAUAGACUUUUACGAGGUGCUGCAUGGUUGUCGUCAGCUCGUGCCGUGAGGUGUCAGGUUAAGUCCUAUAACGAGCGCAACCCCUACUUCUAGUUGCCAGCACGUCAUGGUGGGGACUCUAGAGGAACUGCCGGCGCAAGCCGAGAGGAAGGUGGGGAUGACGUCAAAUCAGCACGGCCCUUAUGUCCAGGGCGACACACGUGCUACAAUGGUCGAUACAGAGGGCAGCUACCUGGUGACAGGAUGCGAAUCUCAAAAGUCGAUCUCAGUUCGGAUCGGAGUCUGAAACUCGACUCCGUGAAGUUGGAUUCGCUAGUAAUCGCGCAUCAGCCAUGGCGCGGUGAAUACGUUCCCGGGCCUUGUACACACCGCCCGUCAAGCCAUGGAAGUUGGGGGUACCUAAAGUCCGUAACCGAGAGGAGCGGCCUAGGGUAAAACCGAUAACUAGGGCUAAGUCGUAACAAGGUAGCC